CUUGCUCUGCUUUUGGAUUUGUCGGAAUAUUUUGGAAUUUGCUGCUUGAGUUUUGCCCAAUUGUAUCGUUUGGUUGCCAGGUGUUUAUAGACAUCGCUUGGCUUGGGGUUGCAAGGAAGAAUAACAGUUUUCUCUUUUACCAACUGCAAUCCAUUCAUCAUAUCAUAUGGAAUAUGGAAUAUGCAGCUACUAGAGGAGGACUUUGGGAAGAAUGUGCAAAUGUUGGUAUAAUCUAUAACAAGCCGGAAGGUUGGCCACACAAGUGCACUGCAACCAAACAUCAGUGAGUCACAGGGUUGCAAGUUGGACUUCAGAGCCAUGGAAUAAGCUUUUACCAACUCCAACUCAUUUCAUUAUAGUCAUGGAAAAUGCAGCAAGCUAGAGGAGGACUGACUUUGGGAGGAGUAUGCAAUUUUGCUACACUUGCAUGGUGUGACUCUCACUCUGCACAUUUGAUGGAGCCAUUUGUUAUUACAAUAUUGAUUGUCACUAUGAUAAAUUGAUAAUUGGAAGUGACAUGCAUGGGAUGACAUUGCGUACCCGUUACAUUACGUGUAAGUACUUUCUUCACUUUUCUAUUUUGAUUUCAGCAUCUAAUUGCUGAGAUACAGUUACAUUACAUGUAAGUACUUUCUUCACUUUUCUAGUUUGAUUUCAGCAUCUACUUGCUGAGAUACGGUCGUA